rnacentral:rRNA from 1 species
GCAGUAGCCGCGGUAAUACGAGGGGGGCUAGCGUUGCUCGGAAUUACUGGGCGUAAAGGGCGCGUAGGCGGACAGUUCAGUCGGGGGUGAAAGCCCGGGGCUCAACCUCGGAAUUGCCUUCGAUACUGGCUGUCUUGAGUAUGAGAGAGGUGUGUGGAACUCCGAGUGUAGAGGUGAAAUUCGUAGAUAUUCGGAAGAACACCAGUGGCGAAGGCGACACACUGGCUCAUUACUGACGCUGAGGCGCGAAAGCGUGGGGAGCAAACAGGAUUAGAUACCCGCGUAGUCCCUGUCUCUUAUAC